UAUCAGGACCAUACUUUCAUUGCUUAUGGUUGAAAAUCGGUUUAUUAACUUUAAGAGCAAGAUAAAGAAGACAAUCACUCCGCGGCAGAGGAUUUAGAGACCAGAAAAUCCUAUCAGGACCAAAGGAAUGUCUCGCAUCCCAGCCCUGUAAAUACCGACAGAGGAGAGGACGGCCUCGGCAUGGAUGUCGCCGGGACGCAGCUGGUGGAAAAAGACAUCGAAAAUUUGGCCCGAGAUGAGUUACAAAAACUGGUCCUGGAGCAAAUGGAGCUGAGGAAAAAGCUGGAGAGGGACUUCCAGAGCCUGAAAG